GACGAACCGUACGAACGUUAUUCGGAAUUACUGGGCUUAAAGGGUGCGUAGGCGGCGCGGAAAGUAGGGUGUGAAAUCCCUCGGCUCAACCGAGGAACUGCGCUCUAAACUACCGUGCUCGAGGGAGAUAGAGGUGAGCGGAACUGAGGGUGGAGCGGUGAAAUGCGUUGAUAUCCUCAGGAACACCGGUGGCGAAAGCGGCUCACUGGAUCUCUUCUGACGCUGAGGCACGAAAGCCAGGGUAGCGAACGGG
rnacentral:rRNA from 1 species